UACGAAGGGUGCAAGCGUUACUCGGAAUUACUGGGCGUAAAGCGUGCGUAGGCGGUUUGUUAAGUCUGUCGUGAAAGCCCCGGGCUCAACCUGGGAAUGGCGAUGGAUACUGGCGAGCUAGAGUACGGUAGAGGAGAGUGGAAUUCCCGGUGUAGCAGUGAAAUGCGUAGAUAUGCGGAGGAACACCGAUGGCGAAGGCAAUCCCCUGGGCCUGCACUGACGCUCAUGCACGAAAGCGUGGGGAGCAAACAGG
rnacentral:rRNA from 1 species